GUCGAACGCGAAAGUGGAGCAAUCCAUGAGUAGAGUGGCAAACGGGUGAGUAACGCGUGGGUGACCUGCCUUCGAGUGGGGGAUAACGUUUCGAAAGGAACGCUAAUACCGCAUAACAUCCUGUCUUUUAAGAGAUGGACAUCAAAGCCUGGGACCGCAAGGCCAGGCGCUUGAAGAGGGGCCCGCGUCUGAUUAGCUAGUUGGUGGGGUAAUGGCUCACCAAGGCAUCGAUCAGUAUCCGGCCUGAGAGGGCGGACGGACACACUGGGACUGAGACACGGCCCAGACUCCUACGGGAGGCAGCAGUGGGGAAUUGUUCGCAAUGGGCGCAAGCCUGACGACGCAACGCCGCGUGGAGGAUGAAGAUUUUCGGAUCGUAAACUCCUUUCGAUCGAGACGAAUGAUUCUCGAGUAAAUAGCUCGGGAAAUUGACGGUACCGAGAGAAGAGGCCCCGGCUAACUCCGUGCCAGCAGCCGCGGUAAUACGGGGGGGGCAAGCGUUGUCCGGAAUUACUGGGCGUAAAGGGCUCGUAGGUGGCCAACUAAGUCAUACGUGAAAUCCCUCAGCUUAACUGGGGAACUGCGUCUGAUACUGGAUGGCUUGAGUUUGGGAGAGGGAUGCGGAAUUCCAGGUGUAGCGGUGAAAUGCGUAGAUAUCUGGAGGAACACCGGUGGCGAAGGCGGCAUCCUGGACCAAUACUGACACUG
rnacentral:rRNA from 1 species